AGAGUUUGAUCCUGGCUCAGAUUGAACGCUGGCGGUAUGCUUAACACAUGCAAGUCGAACGGAAACGAUACUAGCUUGCUAGUAGGCGUCGAGUGGCGGACGGGUGAGUAACGCGUAGGAAUCUGCCUGAUAGUGGGGGAUAGCCCGGAGAAAUUCGGAUUAAUACCGCAUAAUCUAUUCGUAGUAAAGUGGGGGACUUUCGAGCCUCACGCUAUCAGAUGAGCCUGCGUAAGAUUAGCUAGUUGGUAGGGUAAAAGCCUACCAAGGCGACGAUCUUUAGCUGGUCUGAGAGGAUGAUCAGCCACAUCGGGACUGAGACACGGCCCGAACUCCUACGGGAGGCAGCAGUGGGGAAUAUUGGACAAUGGGGGCAACCCUGAUCCAGCAAUACCGCGUGUGUGAAGAAGGCCUGAGGGUUGUAAAGCACUUUCAAUUGUGAAGAAAAGUUAGCGGUUAAUAACCGUUAGCCUUGACGUUAACUUUAGAAGAAGCACCGGCUAACUCCGUGCCAGCAGCCGCGGUAAUACGGAGGGUGCAAGCGUUAAUCGGAAUUACUGGGCGUAAAGCGUGCGUAGGCGGUUUAUUAAGUCAGAUGUGAAAGCCCCGGGCUUAACCUGGGAACUGCAUUUGAAACUGGUAAACUAGAGUAUGGUAGAGGAAAGUGGAAUUUCUGGUGUAGCGGUGAAAUGCGUAGAUAUCAGAAGGAACAUCAAUGGCGAAGGCAGCUUUCUGGACCAAUACUGACGCUGAGGUACGAAAGCGUGGGUAGCAAACAGGAUUAGAUACCCUGGUAGUCCACGCCGUAAACGAUGAUAACUAGCCGUUGGGGGGGAUUUACCCUUUAGUGGCGAAGCUAACGCGUUAAGUUAUCCGCCUGGGGAGUACGGCCGCAAGGUUAAAACUCAAAGGAAUUGACGGGGACCCGCACAAGCGGUGGAGCAUGUGGUUUAAUUCGAUGCAACGCGAAGAACCUUACCUGGUCUUGACAUCCUGCGAACUUUCUAGAAAUAGAUUGGUGCCUUCGGGAACGCAGUGACAGGUGCUGCAGGGCUGUCGUCAGCUCGUGUCGUGAGAUGUUGGGUUAAGUCCCGUAACGAGCGCAACCCCUAUCCUUAUUUGCCAGCACAUCAUGGUGGGAACUAUAAGGAGACUGCCGGUGAUAAACCGGAGGAAGGCGGGGACGACGUCAAGUCAUCAUGGCCCUUACGACCAGGGCUACACACGUGCUACAAUGGGAAGGACAAAGAGCCGCGAAGCCGCGAGGUGUAGCUAAUCUCAUAAACCUUUUCGUAGUCCGGAUUGGAGUCUGCAACUCGACUCCAUGAAGUCGGAAUCGCUAGUAAUCGUAGAUCAGAAUGCUACGGUGAAUACGUUCCCGGGUCUUGUACACACCGCCCGUCAUACCAUGGGAGUGGGUUGCACCAGAAGUGGCUAGUCUAACUUAGUGAGGACGGUCACCACGGUGUGAUUCAUGACUGGGGUAAAGUCGUAACAAGGUA
rnacentral:rRNA from 1 species